GGGUUGCAGCAGGAACUCUGGGGGUCUUUCUGCUUAUCAUUCUGAUCAGUCUUUUUGGAUGGAGGAGAAACUCUAGGCUCCCCGAUGGACUUGAAAGGACGGACAAUCCACAGGGACAGAACUCCCCGGUUGGGACGGUGUGUGUUAACCAGACCACAGCCAGAGAGAAACCAGAGGAACCUGCAGAAGACCAGCCUGAAGAGAUCCACUAUGGUGACAUAGACUUCUCCAAACUACGGCCCAAAGAGACCCCAGCUGCAGCCCAGGACAGGAACAGGGUCCAGGGGCAGGAGAGUGAGUACG